UACAGAGGGUGCGAGCGUUAAUCGGAGUGACUGGGCGUAAAGGGCGCGUAGGCGGUUAGAUUAGUCUGAUGUGAAAUCCCCGGGCUUAACCCGGGAUGUGCAUUGGAAACGGUCUAGCUAGAGUAUGAGAGAGGGAAGUGGAAUUUCCGGUGUAGCGGUGAAAUGCGUAGAGAUCGGAAAGAACACUCGUGGCGAAGGCGACUUCCUGGCUCAAAACUGACGCUGAGGCGCGAAAGCGUGGGGAGCAAACAGG
rnacentral:rRNA from 1 species